UGUACACACAUUAUAGGCUAGUUAGUUCUGUAUUCAGAAUUCACGUAAUUAGUUCAUCUGUGUGCAAGUGUCACAUGAACUCAUUAAAAAUACAUCUGUUCCUACAGCAUCAUGGAGACCAAAGAGCUACCAAAAACAUCUGGUUAAAUCAGUUGCAUUUAUGACAAAGAACUACACAGAUGCAGAUGCCACUGCUGUGGAUUUGAGGAGAGUUGACUGCUCCGUAUUACACAAGCUGGGAUUCAUCCAACUCUGGACGCUGGGUUGAGGCUGGUGACUUCCAGCACUUUGUCCCUGACCCCCAUGUGUACCCCCAGAAACAGGACUUCACCCCCAUCACUCAGGGCCAGGCAUAUUACGGCCUACCUGCCCAGCCGUAUUACGCAAGUUGGGAUUCGUCCAACUCUGGCCCGCGGGUUGAGGAUGGUGACGUCCAACACGUUGUCUCUGCGCCCCACGUGCCCCACUUGGAACAGGACUUCUCCCCCAGCAGUCAGGGCCAGGUGUAUUACAGCCUGCCUGUCCAGCCACAGCCAUAUUACGCAAGUUGGGAUUCGUCGAGCUCUGAACCGUGGGUUGAGGAUGGUGAUGUCCAGCAUCUUGUCCUUGCCCCCAAUGUGUACCACCAGGAACAGGACUUCACUCCCAUCACUCAGGGCUAGGCGUAUUACAGCCUAGAUUCCCAGCAUCAUGUAGGAAUAGUUAUAUGCAUAAUUUUGGGAUUUUUUUUUCAAAUGCAUUUGUAUGGAUAAAAAUGUCUGUGUUUUAUGUGAUAAACCAAUGAAGUCCUGGUUUGACUGGAAAUGGCCCAAUCAUUUAUUAAUUUAAAUAUCGUGUUAAAUAAGAAACUAAUGGCUGAAACAAGGGUCUGAUGACAAUUAUUUUGAGAUUGUGUCCAUGCUUUUAAGAAGACUUGCAGCUUAUAUUUGGUCCUCUUAAGUAUAUAUAUAUAUAUAUAGGACAUCUAUUUUUUGAAGAAAACCAUUCAAUCCAGUAAGGGUCGUUUUGACCCCCUUUAUGCAUUCGUGAAGGUUUUUUUGGUUCAUGCAUUUUAGGGUUAAAUAUCAAAAAUCUAAAAGGUGUGCGUCAUACCUGACACCUAGAUGAACACUUUACAGUUGGUUUUGUGACUGUACAUUAUUCCCUUCAAAUGCUAUUGAGCUUUAAAUAAUGGUAUAUUUUGUGUAUGGGCCCAAAAUAAAGAAGCAUUUUCUGGCUAAGCUGUGUGUCUUUAGCAAGCAAUAUAACAUUAAGAGGCAUACACCUUCAAAUGCACAUCACGUUUGAUUUAUUUAUUUGGUGACAGAUAAAAUUAAAUGAUGUAAUAGAUUAUCAGUGUAAGGGUUCUAAAGCAUGAAGCUGCACAGUUUGCUCAAUUUUAUUAACAAAUCUGUUUUAACAUUAAAAAAUACAAAUUAGAUCAGCCUGACGUUACAUUCAGAAUUUUUUUUGG